GACGAACGCUGGCGGCGUGCUUAACACAUGCAAGUCGAACGGAAAGGCCCUGCUUUUGUGGGGUGCUCGAGUGGCGAACGGGUGAGUAACACGUGAGUAACCUGCCCUUGACUUUGGGAUAACUUCAGGAAACUGGGGCUAAUACCGGAUAGGAGCUCCUGCUGCAUGGUGGGGGUUGGAAAGUUUCGGCGGUUGGGGAUGGACUCGCGGCUUAUCAGCUUGUUGGUGGGGUAGUGGCUUACCAAGGCUUUGACGGGUAGCCGGCCUGAGAGGGUGACCGGCCACAUUGGGCCUGCGAUACGGCCCAGUCUCCUACGGUAGGCAGCAGGGGGGAGUAUUGCCCAAUGGGCGGAAGCCUGAGGAAGCAACGCCGCGUGCGGGAUGACGGCCUUCGGGUUGUAAACCGCUUUCGCCUGUGACGAAGCGUGAGUGACGGUAAUGGGUAAAGAAGCACCGGCUAACUACGUG
rnacentral:rRNA from 1 species